UACAGAGGGGGCAAGCGUUGUUCGGAAUUACUGGGCGUAAAGGGCGCGUAGGCGGCCUUCUAAGUCAGACGUGAAAUCCCCCGGCUUAACCUGGGAACUGCGUCUGAUACUGGGAGGCUUGAGUAUGGGAGAGGGAUGUAGAAUUCCAGGUGUAGCGGUGAAAUGCGUAGAUAUCUGGAGGAAUACCGGUGGCGAAGGCGGCAUCCUGGACCAUAACUGACGCUGAUGCGCGAAAGCUAGGGGAGCAAACGGG
rnacentral:rRNA from 1 species